rnacentral:rRNA from 1 species
CGGGGGAUCGUAAAGAUUUUAUCGGAGAGUAUUUGCACUCGGAAGGGUUAAGAUGAAUAUUAAAUAAUCGGACAUAGUACGAUAAGGUUGUAUGUCUAAAGGGAAACAGCCCAGAACAAGUGUUAAUAAGGUUCCAAAAUUAUUGUUGAGUGAAAAUAAGGAUGUGUCUUUUAAUACAAUCNUUUGAUAGGCUUAGAAGCGGCCAUUUUUUAAUGAUCUCGUAACAGAGCGUUGAUUUAUUUAGUAGAUCCCCCCGAAAAUAUAACGGAUCUAAACAAUAUAGCGAAACCCUGUCUAUGNAUAGUAUUUAUAUAUAAAUACAUAAAUAUACAUGGGGUACGGAACNUUGGAUAUAUUUUGAGUUAAUCUUUUUAAGAUUAACUAAGUAAUAUUCCNAGAGAUAAUGCUGACAUGAGUAACGAUAAGACGAAAAACGUGCCGCCUUAUAGCUUAUGGUAUUGAAUAAAAUUACGGCUUCUAAGUGGAAAAUAUGAUAAUUAAUCAUAAUUAUAACCCCAUGAAUUUACUUAAUAAAAAAACUAAUUAAAGUUUAAUUAGUUCGGAAAAAUAAAGCACUUGCAAAAAAAACCGACCUAAAUACUAACCCACAGUGAGCAAGUAGAGA